rnacentral:rRNA from 1 species
AUGAUGGGGGCGGCGGACAAGGCCGAACUAGGGUUCGAGGAGGAGGAUGAUAUGGCGGCCGACACGCCGCCGCCGGCCAGGAAGAUGCAGUCGCUCGAUUUCGAGCACAUCGGCUCGCUCGCGGCGGUGGCGGAGUCGCUCUCGCCCCGGAGCAAGUGGCGGAUGGCGCUCAGGAGCAUACGCAUCGUCAUCUUCCAGGCCAAGAUCAAUGUGCUCCUGCCCUUCGGGCCCCUCGCCAUCACGCUUCACUACCUCUCCGGGAACCACCAAGGAUGGGUUUUCCUUUUCAGCUUAGUUGGUAUCACACCCUUGGCCGAGAGAUUGGGAUAUGCAACUGAGCAACUUGCUUGCUACACUGGCCCAACAAUUGGGGGGCUUCUAAAUGCUACUUUUGGAAAUGCGACAGAGAUGAUUAUCUCGAUAUAUGCUCUGAAAAACGGAAUGAUUCGUGUCGUACAGCAGUCACUACUAGGCUCUAUAUUAUCAAACAUGCUGUUAGUUCUUGGGUGUGCUUUCUUUGCUGGUGGGCUUGCUCAUCCUAAUAGAGAUCAGGUCUUCAAUAAGGCAUCAGCUGUUGUGAACUCUGGGUUGUUGUUGAUGGCUGUCUUGGGUCUAAUGUUUCCAGCGGUGCUUCACUUUACACAUUCUGAAGCGCACUAUGGAAAAUCCGAAGUUUCUCUUUCAAGGUUUAGUAGCUGCAUAAUGCUUGUGGCUUAUGCUAGCUAUCUUUUUUUUCAACUCAAGAGCCAGCGCAGUCUGUACAGCCCAAUUGGCGAAGAAGAAGAAAGCACUGAGGAUGAGGAGGAUGAAAAGGAGAUAGCACAGGGGGAAGCUAUCUCCUGGCUUUUUGUAUUGACUAUUUGGAUUUCAAUUCUCUCUGGGUACCUGGUAGAUGCCAUACAGGGGGCCUCUGAAUCAUUAAAAAUGCCACUGGCCUUUAUUAGUGUUAUUCUGCUUCCUAUCGUGGGGAAUGCUGCUGAGCAUGCAAGCGCCAUUAUGUUUGCCAUGAAAAACAAACUUGACAUUACAUUGGGUGUCGCCAUAGGGUCGUCAACACAGAUAUCUAUGUUUGUGAUUCCAUUCUGUGUGGUAAUUGGCUGGAUGAUGGGGGAAGAGAUGGACUUGAACUUUCAAUUGUUUGAGACAGCAACUCUUUUUAUAACAGUACUUGUGGUGGCAUUUAUGCUACAGGAAGGCACGUCGAACUAUUUUAAAGGCUUUAUGCUCAUAUUAUGCUAUCUCAUAGUUGCCGCAAGCUUUUUUGUGCACGUUGAUCCCAAAUCAAGUGACAACAAAUGA